rnacentral:rRNA from 1 species
GCACUCUGCAACUCGAGUGCAUNAAGGCGGAAUCGCUAGUAAUCGUGGAUCAGCAUGCCACGGUGAAUACGUUCCCGGGCCUUGUACACACCGCCCGUCACACCAUGGGAGUUGGUCUUACCCGACGGCGCUGCGCCAACCGCAAGGGGCAGGCGACCACGGUAGGGUCAGCGACUGGGGUGAAGUCGUAACAAGGUACC